UAGGGAAUCUUCCACAAUGGACGCAAGUCUGAUGGAGCAACGCCGCGUGAGUGAAGAAGGCUUUCGGGUCGUAAAACUCUGUUAUUGAAGAAGAACGUGCGUGACAGUAACUGGUCAUGCAGUGACGGUAUUCAAUCAGAAAGUCACGGCUAACUACGUGCCAGCAGCCGCGGUAAUACGUAGGUGGCAAGCGUUGUCCGGAUUUAUUGGGCGUAAAGCGAGUGCAGGCGGUCUUUUAAGUCUGAUGUGAAAGCCUUCGGCUUAACCGAAGAAGGGCAUCGGAAACUGGGAGACUUGAGUGCAGAAGAGGAGAGUGGAACUCCAUGUGUAGCGGUGAAAUGCGUAGAUAUAUGGAAGAACACCAGUGGCGAAGGCGGCUCUCUGGUCUGUAACUGACGCUGAGGCUCGAAAGCGUGGGUAGCAAACAGGA
rnacentral:rRNA from 1 species